UCCUGGCUCAGGAUGAACGCUAGCUACAGGCUUAACACAUGCAAGUCGAGGGGCAGCAUUGUCAUAGCAAUAUGACAGAUGGCGACCGGCGCACGGGUGAGUAACACGUAUCCAACCUGCCUUCCACUCGGGAAUAGCCUUUCGAAAGAAAGAUUAAUGCCCGAUGGCACUGAAAGAGGUCAUCCUUUUUCAGUUAAAGAAUUUCGGUGGAAGAUGGGGAUGCGUUCCAUUAGCUUGUUGGCGGGGUAACGGCCCACCAAGGCAUCGAUGGAUAGGGGUUCUGAGAGGAAGGUCCCCCACAUUGGAACUGAGACACGGUCCAAACUCCUACGGGAGGCAGCAGUGAGGAAUAUUGGUCAAUGGGCGAGAGCCUGAACCAGCCAAGUAGCGUGAAGGAUGACUGCCCUAUGGGUUGUAAACUUCUUUUAUAAGGGAAUAAAACGGGCCACGUGUGGCCUUUUGCAUGUACCUUAUGAAUAAGGAUCGGCUAACUCCGUGCCAGCAGCCGCGGUAAUACGGAGGAUCCGAGCGUUAUCCGGAUUUAUUGGGUUUAAAGGGAGCGCAGACGGGGUCUUAAGUCAGUUGUGAAAGUUUGCGGCUCAACCGUAAAAUUGCAGUUGAUACUGGGGCUCUUGAGUGCAGUAUAGGCAGGCGGAAUUCGUGGUGUAGCGGUGAAAUGCUUAGAUAUCACGAAGAACUCCGAUUGCGAAGGCAGCCUGCUGGACUGUAACUGACGUUCAUGCUCGAAAGUGCGGGUAUCAAACAGGAUUAGAUACCCUGGUAGUCCGCACAGUAAACGAUGAAUACUCGCUGUUGGCGAUACACAGUCAGCGGCCAAGCGAAAGCGUUAAGUAUUCCACCUGGGGAGUACGCCGGCAACGGUGAAACUCA
rnacentral:rRNA from 1 species